rnacentral:rRNA from 1 species
CGAGCGGACAGAUGGGAGCUUGCUCCCUGAUGUUAGCGGCGGACGGGUGAGUAACACGUGGGUAACCUGCCUGUAAGACUGGGAUAACUCCGGGAAACCGGGGCUAAUACCGGAUGGUUGUCUGAACCGCAUGGUUCAGACAUAAAAGGUGGCUUCGGCUACCACUUACAGAUGGACCCGCGGCGCAUUAGCUAGUUGGUGAGGUAACGGCUCACCAAGGCGACGAUGCGUAGCCGACCUGAGAGGGUGAUCGGCCACACUGGGACUGAGACACGGCCCAGACUCCUACGGGAGGCAGCAGUAGGGAAUCUUCCGCAAUGGACGAAAGUCUGACGGAGCAACGCCGCGUGAGUGAUGAAGGUUUUCGGAUCGUAAAGCUCUGUUGUUAGGGAAGAACAAGUGCCGUUCAAAUAGGGCGGCACCUUGACGGUACCUAACCAGAAAGCCACGGCUAACUACGUGCCAGCAGCCGCGGUAAUACGUAGGUGGCAAGCGUUGUCCGGAAUUAUUGGGCGUAAAGGGCUCGCAGGCGGUUUCUUAAGUCUGAUGUGAAAGCCCCCGGCUCAACCGGGGAGGGUCAUUGGAAACUGGGGGAACUUGAGUGCAGAAGAGGAGAGUGGAAUUCCACGUGUAGCGGUGAAAUGCGUAGAGAUGUGGAAGG